rnacentral:rRNA from 1 species
UACGAACUGUGCGAACGUUAUUCGGAAUCACUGGGUUUAAAGGGUGCGUAGGCGGCCCUGUAAGUCAGUGCUGAAAUAUCCCGGCUUAACUGGGAGGGUGGCAUUGAUACUGUGGGGCUAGAGUACAGAUGAGGUAGGCGGAAUUGACGGUGUAGCGGUGAAAUGCUUAGAUAUCGUCAAGAACACCUAUAGCGAAGGCAGCUUACUAGGCUGUAACUGACGCUGAGGCACGAAAGUGUGGGGAUCAAACAGG